rnacentral:tRNA from 1 species
AUUCAAAUAGCUUAUAGUUAGAGUGUAAUAGUGAAGUUAUUAAGGAAUUAAUUUUAAUUUUGAAUA